AGGGCGCUUAGUUGCUGGGAAUAGACCCGAAGCGGAGGUGAUCUAACCAUGGCCAGGAUGAAACUCGGGUAAAACCGGGUGAAGGUCCGAACCGGUCAAUCUUGAGAAAUUGUCGGAUGAGCUGUGGUUAGGAGCGAAAGACUAAUCAAACCCUGUGAUAGCUGGUUCUUUCCGAAAUAUAUUUGGGUAUAGCGUCGGAUGCUGAUGAGUGGAGGUAGAGCACUAAAUAAGCUAGGGCCCCUACCGGGGUACUGAACUUAAUUAAACUCCGAAUACCAUUCAAUGAAGUCCGGCAGUCAGACUGUGGGGGAUAACCUUCAUAGUCGAGAGGAGAAUAAUCCAUACCAUCAGUUAAGGUCCCAAAAUAUGGCUCAGUGAAAAAGGAUGUGAUUUUGCUUAGACAAUGGGGAUGUUGGCUUAGAGGCAGCCAUCAUUUAAACAGUGCGUAACAGCUGACCCAUCGAGCGAAAUUGCGCCGAAAAUGAUCGGGACUUAAGCCAUAUACCGAAGCUAUGGGUGCACCCUCAAAAAGUGCGCAGUAGGAAAGCCUCCCAAGUGCAGCGAAGGGGAAGGGGUAACCGACUCUGGAGCGCUUGGGAGUGAGAAUGCAGACAUAAGUAACGAUAAAGACGGUUGAAAUCCGUCUCGCCGUAAGGAUAAGGUUUCCUGGGGAAGGUUCGUCCGCCCAGGGUUAGUCGGGAGCUAAGCCGAGGCCGUAAGGAAUAGGUGAUGCACAGCAGGUUUAAUAUUCCUGCACCGGCUUGCGACUAUCUUAUUGAUGACGGAUGGAGAAGAUCAACAGACCCGUUUUGACAGGGCACUGUAAGGCUACGGCCGAGCAGGUGUUGGUGGACUCUGUUCCAAGAAAAGUUAAUAAGGAACUACGCAAGUUGCCCGUACCGCAAACCGACACAGGUAUCCGUGAUGAGUAUUCUAAGGCGCGCAGGUUAAAUCUCUCUAAGGAACUCGGCAAAUUAACCCCGUAUCUUCGGUAGAAGGGGUGCCCCGCAAGGGGCCGCAGUUAAUUGCGUCAACCGACUGUUUAGCAAAAACACAGCACUCUGCCAAGUCGCAAGACGACGUAUAGGGUGUGACACGUGACCAAUGCGGAAAGGUGAAAGUCUUGGGUGCAAGCUCAGGAUCUAAGCCCCCGUGAAUGUCGGCCGUAACUAUAACGGUCCUAAGGUAGCGAAAUUCCUUGUCGGGUAAGUUCCGACCCGCACGAAUCGUGUAACGAGUUGACGACUGUCUCGGAGAGAGGCCUGGUGAAAUUGUAGUGGCGGUGAAGAUGCCGCCUACCCGCAGCAGGACGGAAAGACCCUAUGCACCUUUACUGUAAGCUGUUAUUGUCGCUUGAGUUU
rnacentral:rRNA from 1 species